GACGAACGCUGGCGGCGUGCUUAACACAUGCAAGUCGAACGGAAAGGCCCUGCUUGCAGGGUACUCGAGUGGCGAACGGGUGAGUAACACGUGGGUGAUCUGCCCUGCACUUCGGGAUAAGCCUGGGAAACUGGGUCUAAUACCGGAUAGGAGCCAUUUUUAGUGUGAUGGUUGGAAAGUUUUUUCGGUGUAGGAUGAGCUCGCGGCCUAUCAGCUUGUUGGGGGGGUAAUGGCCUACCAAGGCGGCGACGGGUAGCCGGCCUGAGAGGGUGGACGGCCACAUUGGGACUGAGAUACGGCCCAGACGCCUACGGGAGGCAGCAGUGGGGAAUAUUGCACAAUGGGCGCAAGCCUGAUGCAGCGACGCCGCGUGGGGGAUGACGGCCUUCGGGUUGUAAACUCCUUUCGCUAGGGACGAAGCUUUUUGUGACGGUACCUAGAUAAGAAGCACCGGCUAACUACGUG
rnacentral:rRNA from 1 species